rnacentral:rRNA from 1 species
GACGAACGCUGGCGGCGUGCCUAAUACAUGCAAGUUGAGCGAUGAAGAUUGGUGCUUGCACCAAUUUGAAGAGCAGCGAACGGGUGAGUAACGCGUGGGGAAUCUGCCUUUGAGCGGGGGACAACAUUUGGAAACGAAUGCUAAUACCGCAUAACAACUUUAAACAUAAGUUUUAAGUUUGAAAGAUGCAAUUGCAUCACUCAAAGAUGAUCCCGCGUUGUAUUAGCUAGUUGGUGAGGUAAAGGCUCACCAAGGCGAUGAUACAUAGCCGACCUGAGAGGGUGAACGGCCACAUUGGGACUGGGACACGGCCCAAACUCCUACGGGAGGCAGCAGUAGGGAAUCUUCGGCAACGGACGAAAGUCUGACCGAGCAACGCCGCGUGAGUGAAGAAGGUUUUCGGAUCGUAAAACUCUGUUGGUAGAGAAGAACGUUGGUGAGAGUGGAAAGCUCAUCAAGUGACGGUAACUACCCAGAAAGGGACGGCUAACUACGUG